rnacentral:rRNA from 1 species
AACGAACGCUGGCGGCAGGCCUAACACAUGCAAGUCGAACGCUGUAGCAAUACAGAGUGGCAGACGGGUGAGUAACGCGUGGGAACGUGCCCUUCGGUUCGGAAUAACUCAGGGAAACUUGAGCUAAUACCGGAUACGUGCGAGAGCAGAAAGAUUUAUCGCCGAAGGAUCGGCCCGCGUCCGAUUAGCUAGUUGGUGUGGUAAUGGCGCACCAAGGCGACGAUCGGUAGCUGGUCUGAGAGGAUGAUCAGCCACACUGGGACUGAGACACGGCCCAGACUCCUACGGGAGGCAGCAGUGGGGAAUAUUGGACAAUGGGCGCAAGCCUGAUCCAGCCAUGCCGCGUGAGUGAUGAAGGCCCUAGGGUUGUAAAGCUCUUUCGCCAGGGACGAUAAUGACGGUACCUGGAUAAGAAGCCCCGGCUAACUUCGUGCCAGCAGCCGCAGUAACAC